AUUUUAAACGUCAAAUUGAUCAAAACUAGGUUUUGAGCAGAUAAAACUUUGUAACUUUUGCUUAGCGAAUUCAUCGUACUUAAACAAAAAUAAUACUUGUGGUUUAAUUUUUCUGUGGCACAAGUGACUGAUAGGAGAGAGAAUGCCACUCUGAGCUUAAACUUCUUUUCUUUUCCUCUGUUGUUUCUGUCUAUCUGUCUUGCUCCCCCCCCCCCCUUGCGCUUAUGACAUUAAUAUAUCUUGUCGAUGUGCUUCUGUUUACUGAAACUAACUAACACAUUUUUAUUGGCAAAGGUAAAAUAUCUAGGGUAAUUUAUGGUCGAAAAGAAAUAGAAAUUAGCUGGCGACAUCGAUAAAAUGAAGGAUAACAUUCAGACAAAUAACAGUUCUGAGUGGAGACUGGAGACCAACAACAGGAAAACGACAAGAGGAAGACCAGAAAGACGGUGGCUCUAUUAUUAUAUCAAAGAGCCUACGGGUAACAUCUGAAUACCGUGAACAGCCGAUUAAAAAAAAAUAGAAGUCAUUAUUGAAGUGUUUUAUCCUGCCUUGAAAGAAAGAAAGAAUGGUAGAAAGAAAUGAUAAAAGUAAGAAAAAAAAGAUUGUUCAGGCAUUUUCGAAGGAAGAGGGAUUUGUAGGCCUACUUCGUCAGGGCGAACAGGGCUGGGAGGAAAUACGUUCCCGGAAGGAGGCGAUGCUCUAAAGGCUACUUGACAUUGAAACAGGGACUCCGCACGUUAACCAAGUUUCUCUCCCAACGUGUCCUUAAAAUAGAGUUAUCUCCUAAUAGAGUAAAUCUAUGGCCCUUUGCCUUUAUGGUCUCCGAAGAUCAUACUUAGAUUCAUUAACUAAUACAAGCUAUAAUAAAAAAGUAAAAGUAAAUUUUAAACCACCAUUUCUAUAAACGGCUUUCACUCAUAACGUUACAGUGAUCUAAAUGUGACACCAUUGAAAAUUAAGGCCUUAUAUGAGUAUAAUGCGAGACGUGCUGAACUCGGUAUAAUGCCAAAUGAAAUCAGAAUGGUGUGUUUGUGUGUGUGUGUGUGUGUGUGUGUGUGUGUGUGUGUGUGUGUUCAAGGGGGGAGGGGGGUUACUGUGAAUCCGGUAGUUUAGUUUUCUCCCCAGUCUCGUGGCACUUUGCUAUGUCUGUGUUCUUUAGACUGUCAUGUGAGUUCGGCGUUUACCAAUUUUUCGAAACUUUUAUCUUAAAAUCUUAGGUAAAUGUUUUUGCAUUUAAUGCCUCUUGUUUUAUUCUAUUGUUGAAGAUAUCAUGGCCAGUCGCUUCUGAAUAACCUCUGUGAAAAGCACCUUUGGUCAACAUUCUUGUUGGACAGAAAAAUACCAACUUGUUGUCUUCAAAAUAUAGUGAAAAAAAAAAUCUAGAAUUAUCCCCAAACCACCCUACAAAACUGCUUUGAGACAAAUCGUAACAUUUAUUUGACGAUUUGCACAGCUGAAAAGCUGCUGUCCAAGACAGAUGAAAAUAUGAAAAUGCAGCUCCCUUCAGUCUUUAUUUAAAGAAAUCGGUUCCAUUAUCUUACACGCUCUUGGACCAAGUGCAAAGGAAAAAGACAUACCCCCCCCCCCCCCACAACAAACACAGAACAAAACCAAUAUGAUCUAGAUCUAGAUCUAUACAUCAUAACUUCAUCAACGACUAUAACCAAUUUUCUUAGCUGCCGUUCAUCAUGUGAUCAAAGUUUUACAUAAAAUUUUAUUUCAUAAAAACUGAUAUCAAAAUAAAAACUUGAAUGAUGGAAAAAAGUGCGUCAUUUCCUCCUCGCAAGCUUCCUAUUCUAUGAUGAAUACCUCUUGAUUAUGGGGGUUCUCAUCCAAUAUCCUUCCGUGGAUGUCAGCAGGGGGGAUGUCGAUCUUGGCACCAAAAUGGGCUAAAAUGCCGGCCACACAAGUUGGUCCUUCCACUCCUCUGUUGCUAUGUUGGUGUACAGUCGUCUGACCAACUCAUCUGAUGACGUCACUGCGAACGAGACCCUAUUCCUCAUCAACGGCUCAGCGACAGAGCUCAAUGGAACCGCCAACACAACUCUUUUGCCCUUUCUUCCAUCGACCACAGAAGUGCCGUGGUCCGUGUACUUUCAUGAGAUUACCUCCACACUGUUCCAACUGCCCCCGGAGUUCCCUUGCAAACCAUUAAUUGACAUGUCGAAGAAGAGCAUCAUCUAAUCAGACACGGACAUCCCUGGACUGGACAUCUCAUCCCAGCCAGCCAGCUUUCUGAUCGCCUGGGAGAAACUUGCUUAAUGAUUACUACAGACAUAACCUCUCUGACUCAAAACAACAACCAAACAACUAUUACUUUAGUCAGUUUUAUCAGUAUGAAGUGUGUACAUAAGAAAGUAUCAUACACACUCACAUAAAUGUACCCACAUAGAAAUUUAUAAACAUUUUAUACAUAAUAUAAUAUAGACUUCUAACUUGGGGGUUUUCAAUUGUGUGCAUUUGCACUGAAAGUUAUAGAAGCAGAUUUUACAAUCAAGGUCUGAACACUUCCAGUAUCAAUUGCUCCUGUAGUUCAAAGGAAUUUGAGAAGGUAUGGCCUACCCAUUUUACAACACGGUAGAGAAGAGAAAUAUUGCAAAUUGAAGGUCCCACCCACAGCUGUUGGAGUGACAAAAUACAUGUAUUAUUGUUCUCUUUUCCGUUAGAACCAUUUUUCUCGAUCUUUGCCGACAUCAUGGCCUUUUCCUCUGUUCAGAACCUAAUUCAUCGUGCCCAAAAGGGAAAGAAAAAUGCUCCAAUAAAAGCCAACUUUCAAAGAGCAGUUUGCUUGCCUUUUUUUAACGCUGAUUUUGUUAAAUGAAUUUUUGAAAUAAGUAUAAGUAAAGUACUUUUUAAUCUCCUUGCUGCUUGCUGUAGAAAGGAACAUUAAUACUUACAUCUCAUUAAAAUGUACACUUUAAUCCGAAAUAAAUAUGUAGAAUGAACUACUA
rnacentral:lncRNA from 1 species